ensembl:lincRNA Mirt1 myocardial infarction associated transcript 1
AGGAGGAAAGAUAAGCAGGCUGCCCUGGACACAAGGCAAAGGCUUUUGCAAUGCAGUUGUCAGCAGCAGUCAUGCAGCAGUAAGUGAUGGAGGCCUGAGAAGUGACCUGUUACCAUCUAAUCUCAGCAGUCACCAUUUGCCUCUCCACUGUCCCCUCCACGCCUCUGGUGAUGGCUUAGUGACUCUCCUUGCCCAGCAGGUCGGUUUUCCAAUUACUUCCAGCCGGGCCUGCUUUCCCCUGAAUUUCAUUUCCGGGCCUGUUGAAGCCAAAUUAAUUUUUAAUCACCUUUGAGGUGUUCUGUUUAAUUACCUGGGUUGAACUGAUGAGAACAGUGUGUACGGAGGCGAAACUUUGGGGGUGCUUCUCAGGAACGGGGUGUGGGGUGUUUCUAGAGUGCUGUGCAGGUGGAGAGACAUGGGAUGCCCAGCAACAUGACAGACUAUGAGGACUAUGACGGACGGUGUAAGAGAAAGAAGAGAACCUCGUGAGUCUGCCUCACGUGACACAACCCAAAACUUCCCCUUCAGAUCCCUGCAAACGCCUGAGCUUGGAGUGGAGACUCUCACUUAGGAAGGAAAAAUGAGCUGAGGAUGUGCCAACAAACAGGCAUGUGCCAUCAAGGCCUGUUUAUGGCUGAAACCCAGGUCCUUGUGCAUAUGAGACCAGCACUCUACCAACUGAGCUAUGCGGGGACUCUGAAAACAGAUUUUUAAAAAUUCGGAUUUUUAUAAAUAAAUAUGUGUGUGUGUGUGUGUGUGUGUGUGUGUGUAUGAGUGUUUCCCCUAAAAGUUUGCAUGUGUGUGCAGUGCUCUGUGAAGGACACCGAACCCCCCUGGAACUGCUGUUAAAGAAGAUUAUAAGCCACCAAGAAUGGGUGUUGAGGAUAAACAGCAGUCCAGCAGAAGAGCAGCGCUUGUUCUUGACCACUCGGCCCUCUCUCUAGCCCCAGGAAGUAGAUUUCUAACAUUAUUUUACAUUAUUGAAGAAAGUUAAAGUAAUACUUUGUGGUAUGUUUUGUUGGAGACCAGCAGAAUGGGUUUACACAUUGCCCGUUGCCAACCCUCAGAGGCAGAAGCGAACAGUAGUGACACACACUGAAUGGACCGCAAAUACUUACUUCUAACCAUUUCCAGAAAAAAAAAAAGGCUCUCUGACCUUUGACCCAGGCCAGUUGUGACACUCUUCUCUCUUUUUCCCCCUAAGCUUCCUUGCAGCUAGGAGUGGCCACUUGUUCUCCUCAGUCAGGCAAAGAUCUGCAGGGGAGACUGGUAUAAAGCCCUGCUGUUCCAAAGGAAAGAGUGGGAUGUGUCUGGGAACUCUCCCACCUACUUCCUGUCUGAACUGUGAGUUAGCCCUGGGGAGCCCACCCAGCCCUCUUUUAGAACCCAUCUCCUGCUGAGAGACAGGAAGCACAGGGUCAUGAGUUCAAGUAGAAGGGCUGGGUCCCCGUUGGCUACUGUCCAGGAGAAGCGGAAUGCCUGCCCUGAGCACCUACCCAGAGGUUAGGCUACUUGUAGCCUAGAUCCGAGGAGCCACUUGUCUGCCAGGAACUUGUCAGUGGCUCCUGAUUGCCAGACCCACAUCAGUACAUGGGAAAGUUAUAAGGUAAACUAAGGUCCACUGUUGGAUUCUGGGGUCCUAGAGGCAAAAUUUCUCAGUGUUCCCUUAUCCCCGAAACUCCUAUAGUUCUCAAAAGAUAAUAAUCAAAAUAAUGUUGGAUGUUUUGGAGGAUGUUUGAGAGAUGAAUAAAUGAAUGAAUGGAUGGAUGAAUGAAUGAAUGAAUGAAUGAAUGGAAGCAUAUAGUUAUCAAGAGGGAGCUACACAGAAUUGAAAGCAGCCUGGAAAGUCUGACCUAGGUAUUCUAUUAGUUAACAAAGGAAACCGGGUUUCCAUGAGUAUAAUUGGCUUUCCUAUGGUCACAAGAGUUAGGAGGAAAAAAGUUGGGAUCCCACCUUAAGGCUGGUUCAACUCCUUGGAUACUGGCCUCUCCGGCCUCAGCUCCUUGGACAUUCCCUGAGGCAAUGCCAGACAUAAUCUGUAGAAGUAGGUGACAAAUCUACCAUCACCUAGGGGAAAGCAUGAAAGGAAACUUGAUGAGUUUGGACGACUGCCAGUCACUGCCUCUCUCCCUCGCAUCCCCCAGUUCUGCUCCUAGAAUUGCCAGGAACACGUCACCUCCUUAGCAGGUGCUCGGAACAUAUUUGGAAGAUGAGUCCCCUCGUAUCAGUGCACAUUCCUCAGCAAAAAGUCACAGGCUGCAAAACUUC